rnacentral:rRNA from 1 species
AUUGAACGCUGGCGGCAGGCCUAACACAUGCAAGUCGAGCGGAUGAAGGGAGCUUGCUUCUGGAUUCAGCGGCGGACGGGUGAGUAAUGCCUAGGAAUCUGCCUGGCAGUGGGGGAUAACGUCCGGAAACGGGCGCUAAUACCGCAUACGCCCUGAGGGAGAAAGUGGGGGAUCUUCGGACCUCACGCUAUCAGAUGAGCCUAGGUCGGAUUAGCUAGUUGGUGGGGUAAAUGCCUACCAAGGCGACGAUCCGUAACUGGUCUGAGGAUGAUCAGUCACACUGGAACUGAGACACGGGCCAGACUCCUACGGGAGGCAGCAGUGGGGAAUAUUGGACAAUGGGCGAAAGCCUGAUCCAGCCAUGCCGCGUGUGUGAAGAAGGUCUUCGGAUUGUAAAGCACUUUAAGUUGGGAGGAAGGGCAGUAAGUUAAUACCUUGCUGUUUUGACGUUACCAACAGAAUAAGCACCGGCUAACUUCGUG